GAUGAAGAACGUAGCGAAAUGCGAUAAGUAGUGUGAAUUGCAGAAUUCAGUGAAUCAUCGAAUCUUUGAACGCACAUUGCGCCCCUUGGUAUUCCAUGGGGCAUGCCUGUUCGAGCGUCAUUUGUACCCUCCAGCCCUGCUGGGUGUUGGGCGUUUGUUCCGCCGCGCGCGUGAACUCGCCUCAAAUGAAUUGGCAGCCAGCCGUCCCGCGUGGGAGCGCAGCACAUUUUGCGCUCUCCGCUGGGUGCGGCGGCGUCCACAAGCCUAUACCUUUACGCUUGACCUCGGAUCAGGUAGGGAUACCCGCUGAACUUAAGCAUAUCAAUAAGCGGAGGA
rnacentral:misc_RNA from 1 species